rnacentral:rRNA from 1 species
AACGAACGCUGGCGGCGUGGAUAAGACAUGCAAGUCGAGCGGGAUUCCAUUUGUAGCAAUACAAAUGGAGUUCAGCGGCGCAAGGGUGCGUAACACGUGGGCAAUCUGCCGAGAUGUGGGGGAUAGCUCGCCGAAAGGCGAAUUAAUACCGCAUUGUGACCAAGGAAGACAUCUUCCUGACGUCAAAGCCGGGGCAACCUGGCGCAUCUUGAGGAGCCCGCGGCCUAUCAGCUAGUUGGCGAGGUAACUGCUCACCAAGGCUAUGACGGGUAGCUGGUCUAAGAGGACGACCAGCCACACUGGAACUGAGACACGGUCCAGACACCUACGGGUGGCAGCAGUCGAGAAUUUUUCUCAAUGGGGAAACCCUGAAGGAGCGACGCCGCGUGGAGGAUGAAGGUCUUCGGAUUGUAAACUCCUGUCAUUUGAGAACAAGUGGUUCGUGUUAACUGCACGGGCCUUGAUAGUAUCAGAAGAGGAAGA